CGGCCGCAAGGGCUGUGAGGACGGUGUCUCUCACAAUGACACAAUUGGCUUUCAGGCUUUGGCAUCACGAAUACUUUGUUUGAACCUUUGCUUAAAGCAUGCUUCCCCCCUUGGAGAGUGGUGAUUUGAAUUGAAUAUUCGUCCAUUUAAAAUAAAGAUCGGAUUAUACCGAUUUCUUCUCUCGAUGAAGUGAAAGGAGCAAAUUAGGUUAUGUUAUGAUUCAUUUAGAGUUCUGCAACAGCAACAACGAACAACCUCUCGAAGGAAGAUUCAAGGAAAGCUGAAGUAAUUUAAUUCUGUUACUCGGCAUUCUGCAUUUGAAAACUAAACGACAUCAGUGUGGGGUGUCUUGCUCUUCUUAUUUUUUUUCCACCGUUCAUUGCCAUCACUGCUGCCAUUGCUAUUUGCCACCACGGUUGAUUCGUUAAUUCCCUUAAACCACAUUCCUCCCCCUGCCGGACGAAACAGGCCGCUAUCUAAAGUUGCAAAGAGUGUGUGAGGUCACUUUGGAGCUGUUGCACUUUGGUUGGGCCCAGUAACUUCUGUAGAUUGCAGGAGACACCAGGUUUUUCGAUGAUUUAAUGUGGUUGUCAGAAUGGGAUAGACAGGAAUGAGAAUUAGGUUCUUCAAUUACUCUACGCCGUAGAUUAAAUGAUUUGUAUUGUGAUAUAGAGCCUCCUCGGGCUUUCAUCAUUUUCAUUUGUCAUUUUGUUGUCGAGAUAAUGUCUCUCUUUAGUCGAUUCUUUUAUAGAAGACCUCCUGAUGGCUUGCUGGAAUUUGUGGACAGAGUAUAUAUUUUUGAUUCCUGCUUCUCAACAGAGGCUUUGCCGGAUGGAAUGUAUCAAAUUUACUUGCAUGAAAUUAUAACUGAGCUACAUGAAGUGUAUGCAGAAUCUUCAUUUCUUGCUUUUAACUUCCGUGAAGGUGAGAAGAGAAGUCAGUUUGCAGAAAUUCUGUGUGAGUACGAUGUCACUGUCAUGGAUUAUCCACGACAAUACGAAGGUUGUCCUCUCCUUCCGUUGUCCUUGAUACAGCAUUUCUUACGUGUUUGUGAGAGUUGGCUAUCUCUAGGGAAUCAUCAAAAUAUCAUCCUGCUUCACUGUGAAAGAGGGGGUUGGCCACUCUUAGCUUUUCUCCUAGCUAGCUUUUUGAUUUUCAGAAAAUUCCACAGUGGUGAGCAUAAGAUUCUUGAAAUUGUUCAUCGGGAGGCUCCAAAAGGGCUAUUACAGCUUUUAUCACCUCUAAACCCAUUCCCAUCUCAGCUACGCUACCUCCAUUAUGUGGCGAGGAGAAACAUAUCUCCAGAAUGGCCACCAAGUGAGCGGGCUCUUUCUUUAGAUUGUCUCAUUCUUCGAGCAAUUCCAAGUUUCGACUCCGAGAAUGGAUGCAGGCCAAUUAUCCGCAUUUUUGGUCGAAAUCUCCUCAGCAAGGAUGGGCUUUCAACCCAAAUGCUUUUCUCUAUGUCCAAAAAAAAUAAAUCCCUCCGCCAUUACCAACAGGUGGACUGUGAUGUAAUUAAAAUUGACAUCCAAUGUUUGGUUCAAGGAGAUGUUGUUUUGGAGUGUCUUCACUUAGACUUGGAUCCAGAAAGGGAAGUUAUGAUGUUCCGAAUGAUGUUCAAUACUGCUUUUAUCAGAUCCAACAUAUUGAUGCUGAAUUGGGAGGACUUGGAUAUUCUUUGGGACUCCAAGGAGCGAUACCCAAAAGGUUUUCAGGCUGAGGUUCUCUUUGGUGAAGUUGAGAGUAUUUCUCCCCCUAGGGUUCCAACUGUCACUUUAAAUGGUGAAGAGAAAGGUGGAUUGCCCAUUGAAGCGUUUUCUAGGGUUCAAGAACUUUUUAGUGAUGUUGAAUGGGUUGAUAACAGUGAUGAUGCUGCUUUGUGGUUUCUGAAGCAAAUUUCUUCAAAUGCUUUGCAAGAGAAAAUUGAAGAACUCCUCUUAAGUGAUGGGAAGGUCUUGUCAAGAGUUAAUAGUGGUGUCAGUUUUGAGACAUCAUCUACAGAAUCUGAAGAAGAAAAUGACUCAUUGAAGAAUGCCAACAUGUUGGAUUCUAUGUAUACUCCAUUUGCAACAAGCGCUAUAGAAGAUAAUCUUUUAGCUCAAGAUAUUGAAUUAAAAGGUGCUAUGCCCCUAGAAGAUACUAUUUCCCAUGUUUCAGCUCCAAUGUCUAAAAACGUUGGCGAUGCAUCAUCACAUCUUCCUUCAGAUCAAAGUACAGAAACUUCAUUGCUUCCUUUUCCUCCCCCUCCCCCUCCUCCACCACCACCACCGCCACCACCUCUUGCCUUUUCAACUCCCAAUAAAGGAGUUCCACUACCACCUCCUCCAUUGCCACCACCUCCUUUUUUUUCAACAUCAACCACAUGCCCUCCACCACCACCACCACCACUUCCACCUCUACCUUCUCAAGUUGCUUCUGGUAGGGACCAACCACCACCACCACCGCCACCGCCACCACCACCACUUCCACCUCUACCUUCUCAAGUUGCUUCUGGUAGGGACCAACCACCACCACCACCGCCACCACCGCCACCACCCCCUCUUGUUAUCUCUACUAGAAGCCCUCCUCCGCCACCUCCUCUACCUCCGCCCAUUACUUCUUCCAAAACCCCUUUACCACCUCCUUUGCCUAAUUCCACUAGUUCUGCAGCUCCUCCACCUCCUCCUCCUCCACCGCCACCUAUUCAUUCUAGAGGCCCACCACCACCACCACCACCACCACCACCACCUAUUAAUUCUAGAGGCCAACCACCACCACCACCACCUCCUCCUCCUGCUCUUAAUUCUAGAGGCCAACCACCACCACCACCACCUCCUCCUCCUGCUCCCUCUAGUUCUGGCAAUGUUAGACAACCUCCGCCACCACCGCCACCACCACGUCUCUGCCCUUCAUCAGGUAAUGCCCCCCCACCUCCACCAUUGCCUCCUAAUGGUUCUAUUCAUGGGGCUCCCCCUCCUCCUCCCCCACCUCCUUCUGGCCCUUCUCGGCAAGGUCCAAUUCCUCCACCACCACCACAAGCCCCAAAGCCUCCUGGUGUUGUUCCUCCUCCACCACCAAUUCAUGGAAAUCCCCCAGGUCCGCCACCACCACCUGGCACAAGGAGUUCUACUGCACCGCCCCCACCACCACCAUCUAUUGGAAGGGGGAGAACCUCAUCAGGACAGGCUGCUUCCAAUCAGGGUAGAGGUCGUGGUGGUGCUAGUGCGCCUAAGAAAGCUUCACUAAAGCCAUUACAUUGGGUGAAGGUGACUCGAGCAGUGCAAGGAAGUUUAUGGGCUGAUUCUCAGAGACAGGAAAACCAACCAAGGGCUCCUGAAAUCGAUAUUUCAGAGCUUGAAACCCUAUUUUCAGCAGCUGUUGUUUCUGAUGGGAGUGGAACAGGGGGUGGAGUUCGGCGUGGUUCCAACAUUAACAAGCCAGAGAAAGUGCAAUUGAUUGAGUUACGGAGAGCAAAUAACUGUGAAAUAAUGCUUACAAAAAUAAAAAUGCCUCUUCCGGAUAUGAUAAAUGCAGUUUUGGCUUUGGAUUCAUCUAUUCUAGACAUUGAUCAGGUUGAGAAUCUAAUCAAAUUUUGUCCUACAAAAGAAGAAAUGGAAAUGCUGAAGAAUUAUACCGGGGACAAGGAAAUGCUUGGAAAGUGUGAACAGUUUUUCUUGGAGCUGAUGAAAGUUCCUCGAGUAGAAUCCAAGUUACGAGUAUUUUCAUUUAGAAUCAACUUUUCUACUCAGGUGAAGGAGUUAUGGUCUAACUUAAAUAUAAUUAACAGUGCUGCUAGAGAGGUAAAAGAGUCUGUGAAGUUGCGCCAGAUAAUGCAGACAAUUCUCACUCUAGGAAAUGCAUUAAAUCAGGGCACAGCACGAGGAUCUGCUAUAGGAUUCAAAUUGGACAGUCUUCUCAAAUUGUCAGACACACGUGCAAGGAACAAUAAGAUGACUUUAAUGCAUUAUUUGUGCAAGCUCCUUGGUGAGAAAAUGCCUGAGUUGUUGGACUUUGAUAAGGACCUGGUUCAUUUGGAAGUAGCAUCAAAGAUCCAACUGAAGUCUUUAGCUGAAGAAAUGCAAGCAGUAAGCAAAGGUCUUGAGAAGGUUGAACAAGAGCUCACUGCCUCAGAAAACGAUGGUGCUAUCUCUGUGGGCUUUCAAAAGGCUUUAAAGAAUUUUCUUGAUACUGCUGAAGCUGAAGUGAGGUCACUUAUAUCCUUGUAUUCUGAAGUGGGAAGGAAUGCCGAUUCCUUAUCUCAAUAUUUUGGGGAAGAUCCAGCUCGGUGUCCCUUUGAGCAAGUGACAUCGAUCUUGGUGGUCUUUGUUAAGAUGUUCAAUAAAUCGCGUGAGGAAAAUGUUAAACUGGCUGAUGCUGAAAGGAAAAAACUGGAAAAAGAAGCAAUGAAAGAGCGGGCAAACUCUUCUGCAAGAAAAGAAAAUACUGAUAAACUUGGUUCUCAGAAGCACAUAAACUGAACAACUUGGAUUGCAGAGCAAUACCGUGUUCGUGGCAGAUGUCACAUCUAAUUAGUUAUCCAUCUGCCACAGGCACGGGGCACGGGAAUUCGUAGGGCUAUGUAUUAUACUUCUCCAAGGACUGGUACGGGAUAGCUAGUGACGAGUCAGGCUUCAUGGUUGGUAUCACCAUCUUGGGCUGAAGAAUAGCAGGCGGAGAGGCUCCAUGGCUGGUAUCAUUGGCCCUGAUGAACUUGAUCGAGGCCCCGACUUGAUAGUAAGAUACCCAUUUUCACCAGAGUUGUGCGCGUACGAGGGGGAUGGUAUCCACCAUCUUGGGCAGAAGAAUAGCCGACGGAGAUGGAGGAAGUUGGGAUUUAUGAGGAGAGGCGGGAGGGCAUUUACCAACGAUGGCGGAGACGAUUCAACACCAUCAUUUUUACCAUCGCCAACUCGAUUAACAACACCACUUCAGCUUUUGUCGUGUGAUUCAGUCCAAACCCUUUUGAUAUCUCAAAGCAACAGACAUCUGGUCACAAAUCAAGUAGAAAAGUGCCACUCUGAAAGUCCAAACCCUCCUUCGCUUUUCAAAUAAUUUGGGCAGAAUGUUUACAUCAGUCUGCCAGUGUAGUCUAAUCUUCCUCGAUGUCACCCUGCUACUGUUGUCUAAUCUUCCCCGAAUCUGGCCUUCUUCUUUGUUGAAUCCAAUCAUUUGAAGUUUGGGGGUUCUUACAGGAAAACCAGAAGAGGGUUCCACCAUCA